AGUGGUAAAAUAUGUGGAGACACAUUCCAGAGAGCCUUUCUGGAGUGAACCUUUGCCCUGCAUGAGGUUGAGAGGCUUUGUGGUGUCCAGCCAUUCAAAUGUCCCGCUUGCAGUGCGUCCAUGCAUGCCAUCCCAGUGGAUGGAAACGUGAAGCUAUACAGGUUCCAUAAUGCACAUGGGUAUGUAUUUUAUUUUAUUUUUUGUACAUUUUAUUGUACUUCUUAACUGUCUACAUCAUGUUUCUCUUUUUCAAUAAAAUUAAGGACAGAGAAGGGCUACUUCGAUGGCACAUUCAUAAUGAAAGAUGAUGAUGUUUCCUCCUUUGUGGGAUAUGUUCAUGAAAAGACCAAGCAUGUAAUAACCCUUAACUUAUUUUCAUAUUGUAUAUUCCAGUCCAGCUACCAUUAUUGAAAUAUUAAUAAUAAUUUUUUAUCGUAUCUUGUAGGCCACAGGUAAAGGGGUGUGUGGCUCCUCUCAAUGGACAGCAGCCAAGGAGUCUUCUAAAAAGUCAGCAUCAAAGAUUGAUGAGGAAGUCCUUGAGAUUGCUGUGUGCCGACAUGGGGGACUUUUAAAAGGCCUAAAUAUGUUCAGAGGCGAAAUAUUUAAUUAUCCCCUGUUCCUUCAAAACACCCUCUCAAAAGAAUGUGUCAUUCUUCUGCUCGGAUGUCACCUGCAAGUACUGGCCAUACUUAAAGAGAGUGGUGGGACACUGUCCAGAGCUAAGGCCUUUAUUAAAUAUGCGCCCACUAUUAUCAGUUAUGCAUGCCAAAGCACAUGAAUGGAGUUGUGAGAUAAAAUGGUCUGGAAGAAACCAAGAGGGAGCUGGUCUUACUAUUGGAGAAGAGGUGGAGCAAGUCAACUCCUUCUUGUCGAGAGCUGCAAUCUGCACUAAAUAUAUGUCCAAAGCUGAUAUUUACUUUCACCAACUGUCUAAUAAUAGCAAGUUCAGACAUGCUCACUGUUCUUGCUUCUGCAUGGAACAAACGGAAAUCAGACAAUAUGGCUAAAUGUUUGUCUCAAAGAUACAUUAAGACAACUGAGAUGCUGAAAGUGGAAAGUGAGAGCUUUGCGAGUCUGCAGACUGAGCUUAAUGUCAGUGAUGAGGACAUUCAGCAGUGGGUCAGUGAUGUCCAGCAGUGGGCCACAGUAUCAAGUGCAAAGGAUGACUCUGUACUUGAGGGCAGAAUUCGAGGCCUUUAUGUCAGCAUAAAGCUGAGAAAACAUUAUCUGUACCAUCAGACAGAUAGCAACAAGAGAAGGCACAAAAUAAGGAGGAGAAUUAAUGAAGACAAGUCAACCUUGGCAGCUGCCAUUAAGGACUUCAAUGAAUAGUCAGUCCACCAGCUUCCUUCCGUGGAUGAGCUGCUCGCACCUGAUCAUUUCCAGUGGCCAUGGGAAUGCCCUGACACUAGUAAUUAACUUUAAAAAUAUUCAGUGUAUUUGAUAAAAAUUGUUUGAUGUUAAUAAAGUCCUCAGUGUAAGACCUUUGUUAAUUGCA
ensembl:lncRNA